UACGAGGGGGGCGAGCGUUGUUCGGAAUUACUGGGCGUAAAGCGCACGUAGGCGGCUCUUUAAGUCGGGGGUGAAAUCCUGGAGCUCAACUCCAGAACUGCCUUCGAUACUGAAGAGCUCGAGUCCGGGAGAGGUGAGUGGAACUGCGAGUGUAGAGGUGAAAUUCGUAGAUAUUCGCAAGAACACCAGUGGCGAAGGCGGCUCACUGGCCCGGUACUGACGCUGAGGUGCGAAAGCGUGGGGAGCAAACAGG
rnacentral:rRNA from 1 species